CCUACGGGAGGCAGCAGUAGGGAAUAUUGCUCAAUGGGGGAAACCCUGAAGCAGCAACGUCGCGUGGAGGAUGAAGGUUUUCGGAUUGUAAACUCCUUUUGUUAGAGAAGAUAAUGACGGUAUCUAACGAAUAAGCACCGGCUAACUCCGUGCCAGCAGCCGCGGUAAUACGGAGGGUGCAAGCGUUCCUCGGAAUCACUGGGCGUAAAGCGCGCGUAGGCGGGAUAGCAAGUCAGAUGUGAAAUCCUAUGGCUUAACCAUAGAACUGCAUUUGAAACUGUUAUUCUAGAGUAUGGGAGAGGUAGGUGGAAUUCUUGGUGUAGGGGUAAAAUCCGUAGAGAUCAAGAGGAAUACGCAUUGCGAAGGCGACCUGCUAGAACAUAACUGACGCUGAUGCGCGAAAGCGUGGGGAGCAAACAGGAUUAGAUACCCUUGUAGUC
rnacentral:rRNA from 1 species